rnacentral:rRNA from 1 species
ACGAACGCUGGCGGCGUGCCUAACACAUGCAAGUCGAACGAGACCUUCGGGUCUAGUGGCGCACGGGUGCGUAACGCGUGGGAACCUGCCCUUGGGUUCGGAAUAACUUCCCGAAAGGGAUGCUAAUACCGGAUAAUGUCUUCGGACCAAAGAUUUAUCGCCUAUGGAUGGGCCCGCGUAGGAUUAGCUUGUUGGUGGGGUAAUGGCCUACCAAGGCGACGAUCCUUAGCUGGUCUGAGAGGAUGAUCAGCCACACUGGGACUGAGACACGGCCCAGACUCCUACGGGAGGCAGCAGUGGGGAAUAUUGGACAAUGGGCGAAAGCCUGAUCCAGCAAUGCCGCGUGAGUGAUGAAGGCCUUAGGGUUGUAAAGCUCUUUUACCAGGGAUGAUAAUGACAGUACCUGGAGAAUAAGCUCCGGCUAACUCCGU